AUGCACGCUGGCGGCGUGCCUCAUCCAUGCAAGUCGCGCGAACAGACGAGGAGCUUGCUCCUCUGACGUUAGCGGCGGACGGGUGAGUAACACGUGGAUAACCUACCUAUAAGACUGGGAUAACUUCGGGAAACCGGAGCUAAUACCGGAUAAUAUAUUGAACCGCAUGGUUCAAUAGUGAAAGACGGUUUUGCUGUCACUUAUAGAUGGAUCCGCGCCGCAUUAGCUAGUUGGUAAGGUAACGGCUUACCAAGGCAACGAUGCGUAGCCGACCUGAGAGGGUGAUCGGCCACACUGGAACUGAGACACGGUCCAGACUCCUACGGGAGGCAGCAGUAGGGAAUCUUCCGCAAUGGGCGAAAGCCUGACGGAGCAACGCCGCGUGAGUGAUGAAGGUCUUCGGAUCGUAAAACUCUGUUAUUAGGGUAGAACAAAUGUGUAAGUAACUAUGCACGUCUUGACGGUACCUAAUCAGAAAGCCACGGCUAACUACGUG
rnacentral:rRNA from 1 species